GCGAACGCUGGCGGCAGGCCUAACACAUGCAAGUCGCACGAACUCUUCGGAGUUAGUGGCGGACGGGUGAGUAACACGUGGGAACGUGCCUUUUGGUUCGGAAUAACUCAGGGAAACUUGUGCUAAUACCGAAUGUGCCCUUCGGGGGAAAGAUUUAUCGCCAUUAGAGCGGCCCGCGUCUGAUUAGCUAGUUGGUGAGGUAACGGCUCACCAAGGCGACGAUCAGUAGCUGGUCUGAGAGGAUGACCAGCCACACUGGGACUGAGACACGGCCCAGACUCCUACGGGAGGCAGCAGUGGGGAAUCUUGCGCAAUGGGCGAAAGCCUGACGCAGCCAUGCCGCGUGAAUGAUGAAGGUCUUAGGAUUGUAAAAUUCUUUCACCGGGGACGAUAAUGACGGUACCCGGAGAAGAGGCCCCGGCUAACUUCGUG
rnacentral:rRNA from 1 species